UGCGUGGCUAGGCACCGUAGAAAAAAACCGGCCGAGGAAGCAAGCAUCUGAACAUGCGUUCAAAUAUUGAAGCGUUCCGAAUUUUUCGAUUUGCACCUUGUUCUGUAUUCUCUUAUCGGGCAACAAAUUAGACACUUGACAACAAAACACUUACAAGUGUUCCCCCAACCUGUUUUUCGCGGGGUCGAAAGCUCCGGACGAUCAAUGGUGGAAUAAGUCUAUUCGGAAAAUAAUUACUUAUGAAGUAGUGUCAUCUUGAGUCUUUUGGGGACUUGAUUAGACGUUUCAGCUUGUCAGCGUUUGUUUUCCAGGUUGCCCCCUGUGUGCUGCCGAGUUUUGCCGGUACGCGUUUUAACCAAACGGGGAUUGAACGACUCCUUACCUUGGACGGUGCUAUUAAGAACAAAGAUCGAUUGGAACCAUCGUAUUCUUUCUCUGCGAGGAUAAAUCGGGCGUUGGAUAACGGAGAGUGAUUGCAGGACAACUGAGGUUCUGGUCGAUGUCUCCGUCGUUGUUAAAGGUUCCCAGGUUCGAGACUGGCCUUAGACCACAACGUGUUCCUAAGAUUAGAAGACAAAUACGUUAGCCACGAAGCUAUCACGAGGACUUAUACCUAGACGGGGACGAGAAGACUAUACUUAGAGCAGAGAGAAAAACAGUCCAACGCUGCUCUAUUGGAAUAAAAGUGCGCGUCUUGAUAGUGUAUGUGUUUUAUCAUACAUGUCGAUGGUUUGUUAGUCCUGCAUUGCUUCCUAGUAUUCACGAAAAACAUUAUACUCCAUAUUUAGUAUAAAAUCCUUCAUUUUAAUAACAGUGCGCGCAGUUUUUACGGCGGCUCUCAUUAUACUGCCACCCUGUCGUUGCCUUAAGUUCGAUUAUAGGAGCUUAGAAGUUGAUAUAUUUAUUAUAUGAAGUUUUUCCGUUUUCAAACCGUUCAGUUACCGCGAAGAGUUCACUUGCCGCUAUUAGCACGGUCAACAGGCUUGCGUCUUCUGCGUGUCUUGCAUCAAAUUUAUUCUUACCCUUCCCUCAGAUGCGUCAAGUUUUUAAAGUUUGGCCGGCACAUUUGCAAACAAUGGAAAAAUCAGUAUGACAAAAACAGAAUAUUAUGUUAAUAACAAAGCUAAACGCCCGGAUGAUUUUAGCGAUGUAUUUGAAUUAAAUUGAAAGUAGGGCUUAUAACGACACUUAAUUCAAGUGUGGUUUCUGCCCCGGAAAUAAAGAAACCAAUCAGAGUCAUAUUGCUUAAAUGAUUGGAGUAAUUAGCUCAAAUAGCGACCGUUUUGAUUUGAGAUCGUACAUGUACAGUUCAUGAACGACACUUAUCGAAAGCAUUUCUGUCAUACUUAAAAUAAACGUUCAGAACGGAAAAGGAACCAUACAGAAGAUCAUUGCAAUACUCCGAUGGGCAUUUUUCCCA